ensembl:lncRNA
ACACACACACACACACACACACACACCUUCGAAAAUAUGGGACUUAACUGUAACUGGUCUUUGAAUGAUAGAUACGUUUGUGUGUACUGACUGUUAAAGCGGCAUUAUUGUGGCAUUGAUUACUCAUUGUGCCAAAUAAACAACACACUCAGAACUUAACCGAGAUCUUGUUUACGGGACACACACCUGAGCAUUUUAUAUCAUCAGUGGUACAACCUGGGGUUUUGUUUUUGUUUUGUUUUUUCGCCUUGAGUGCGUCUCUUUGUUUUGCCUGUGUUAAUUUUUUUUCUCUAUUGCAGUCUCUCUCUCUCUCUCUCUCUCUCUCUCUCUCUCUCUCUCUCUCUGUGUGUGUGUGUGUGUGUGUGUGUGUGUGUGUGUGUACAGGAGUAGACCACUGCAGUGUAUUUCAGCACUGGAAGCUCCACAGCCUUUGGAUAUAGUCGUACAUCUUCAAUCCUGUGCCUGAUGCAACUGAUAUCAUUUAUUUCUAUUUCUCCUAUUUAUUCAUUAUUAUCAAUGUACUGGUUCUGUUGAUGUAUUGUUUAUUCAAAUUGUGUAUAUUUAUUUUGGUGGUUUUCUUUUUUUAAUCUAUUUUUUAAAAUGUAAAACAUUGAUUUAAACUGUGUGUGUAUAUAUAAUAUUAUAUAUUUUUUUGCUUGGAGUAUGUGGUAAAUGGUGUGAGUGGUUUGAAUUGCGUGCAGGUUAGAAGGUAGAACUAAUCCCACAUUGGCCAAAUAUUGUCUUCUUGAUGUCCUGUGUGUGUGUGUGUGUGUGUGUGAGAGAGAGAGAGAGAAGCACUGAGUGUGGCGAAAAUAAAGGCUGCACAGGGAACUGACAAUUCGAUCUAGAAUUAUAGUAGUCUGGGCAAUUAUGGGAGUGUAUACUCAAAAUAUCUACCGUGUAGGUCCGGCAGGUUUGACGAGAGAGCUGUUAAAUGUGAUAUGGGAGAGUUUAAUGGUCAGAUAUUAUUUUAGAACAAUCUUCGGUUUUAUGGUCGUGUAAAUGUGCAACCCGAACAUUUCCCUACUAUUAAUCUCAGCACAGACAAGUCCAGAUCCAGUGUGUGUGUAUAAACACUGAACAAUUCAUAAGGUAAGGCUCUUGUGUUGAGGUGCGGGGACAAAACACAACGGAAAUGAAUGUAGAAAGCAACGGAAGCCAGCAAGAAACCAAAUAAAAUCACGUACAGAAGUGGAUAGAGGAGCGACAGGAAAUGGGUCCAAACAAUAAUCCGAGGUCAAAAGAUUAACCUCAUCUUGUUCGUGUGUGUGUGUGUGUGUGUGUGUGUAUGAGAGCUAGUCGACUCUAAACUUUGCAGAUUCUGUGUUUUGUGUAUAAUGAUCCUUGUCUGGACUUCUGGCAUACAAUGUACAUAAUUUAUUGGGAAGGGGGUUGUAUGUAUACGAUGAAGACCACUGUAAAAUAAGAUGAAUUAGGUUCUUCCUCUGGGUGUAUAGUAACUAGAGAUGAAUGACUGUGUGAAAACAAGUACUCAAAGAAUAUUUAAUUAAAUAUAGCUGUGCUAAUUUCUCUCUUCUGUGCUGUAGCAUUUCUUGUUUUUAUUGUUUUUUAAUUUAAUUUUCUUUUAUUUACACACAACUGCUUGGAUCCUGUUGUGCAAUUCUUCAUGUCAGUGUCAGUCAUUCACCGAAAAAGCCCUUAACCCUCAUAUUCUCAUGCAGCCUUCGAUUUCCACCAAUGUCAGUUUCCCGAUCCAUGGAUUUUGAUGUUCUAGCAAUAUUGU